rnacentral:lncRNA from 1 species
GUACCCAGUUCAAACCAUUCAUUUUAUUAGGAAAUUUGAAUGAGUGAGACUUUCCUUACAGCUCCAAUAUCUAGUUGCUCAUAAUUGUCCGUAACCGGGGACACGGCUAAGUACUUAGUUUGACACUCUCGAGAGGUGGUACACUUUACCCACAAGAAAUCGACGUGUUAAUCCCUUACUGUCCUCAGAAUAGAGUAGCAACGGCAUCGAUUACAGGAAUUUUCAGAACAUAUUCCCCCAAACCACAUGAGGGACGCGCCCCCACCGGUCGGGCGCGGUCGGACUGGGCCGGUUCGGCCCAUUUUGGCCGGGCCGGUCCGGUUUACCCCCUUUUUUUUUCUUUUUGGCCUUUUCUUUUUCUGUUUUUCUCAUUUCUUUGAUCUUUUUUGUGUUUGAACUCCAAAUUGGUCCAAACAAAUUCCAAAAAAUUUGUAAAAUCAUGUUCUACCAAGAUACAACUUUUGGAAGUAGUUUCUCUUCAAAAUAAAAUAUGUAAAAAUACAUUUGCCCUAUAAAUGCCUUUAGGGCCAUAUAUCUAUUUAAAAUAAAAUACUUUUUCAACUCCAAAUAAUUAUCCAAAAAUUAUGGGGUAGCUCAUAUUUGAAAUAAACCCCUUUUAUACUUGAAUCUUAAUGGUUUGAAGAUCCAAACCUCAAAUGGGUGUAAACCAAAUCUUUUAAAGACUUUUGAGAUUCAAAUUUGAAUUCAAACAUGCAAUUGUGGCAUGAUGCUCAUGGAUGCAAUGCACAUGUAAAGGUUUGAAAUUUUGGGAUGUUACAG